rnacentral:tRNA from 1 species
GGCCUAAUAGUGUAGUGGUUAACAUACCUCUUUCGGGUAGAGGUGAUCCCUGGUUCGAAUCCUGGUUAGCCCG